rnacentral:rRNA from 1 species
UACGUAGGGUGCAAGCGUUAAUCGGAAUUACUGGGCGUAAAGCGUGCGCAGGCGGUUUUGUAAGUCUGUCGUGAAAUCCCCGGGCUCAACCUGGGAAUUGCGAUGGAGACUGCAAGGCUAGAAUCUGGCAGAGGGGGUAGAAUUCCACGUGUGAGCAGUGAAAUGCGUAGAGAUGUGGAGGAACACCGAUGGCGAAGGCAGCCCCUGGGUCAAGAUUGACGCUACAUGCAC